AGCAGCCGCGGUAAUUCCAGCUCCAAUAGCGUAUAUUAAAGUUGCUGCAGUUAAAAAGCUCGUAGUUGAAUUUCGGGACUAAUAUGUCGGUCGUGCCUCGGUACGUACUGGCUUAUUGGUUUCUCCUUUCUGAAGAACCAUGAUGUCAUUUAUUUGGUGUCGUGGGGAAUCAGGACUGUUACUUUGAAAAAAUUAGAGUGUUUAAAGCAGGCUCACGCUCGAAUACAUUAGCAUGGAAUAAUGAAAUAGGACGUUUGAUUCUAUUUUGUUGGUUUCUAGGAUUGACGUAAUGAUUAAUAGGGAUAGUUGGGGGCAUUAGUAUUCAAUUGUCAGAGGUGAAAUUCUUGGAUUUAUUGAAGACUAACUACUGCGAAAGCAUUU
rnacentral:rRNA from 1 species